rnacentral:rRNA from 1 species
GAUGAACGCUAGCUAUAGGCUUAACACAUGCAAGUCGAGGGGCAGCAUGAACUUAGCUUGCUAAGUUUGAUGGCGACCGGCGCACGGGUGAGUAACACGUGAGUAAUCUGCCUUCCAGAGGGGAAUAACGUUUGGAAACGAACGCUAAUACCGCAUAACGUGCGGUCCUCGCAUGGGGACUGUACCAAAGAUUUUAUCGCUGGAAGAUGAGCUCGCGGCCGAUUAGGUAGUUGGUGAGAUAACAGCCCACCAAGCCGACGAUCGGUAGCCGGACUGAGAGGUUGAUCGGCCACAUUGGGACUGAGACACGGCCCAG